CUAGCAUAGCUGCGUAAAAACCUGCCGUUACGUUUAAUACAUAACGUCUUUAUCGCCGCGUGAUAUUUAUUUGCGCACAACUCUACAGCUUCCGGCUGAACAAUGCGAGGGAACGAUCAUAAUAAAGACUGCAAAUCAUGCUUCAAGUGCGGACUACACUCUUCAGAUAGAGAGCACAGGAGAUCAAGUUGAACCUACAUCACCCCCGACUACAAUAUCCCCGACAUUUCUUGUUAAAAACACACAAAGUCGCGCGUAAAUGUGUCCAACACGCCUGCCGCGAAGGGUGAUCGUUCCCUGGCGUACAUUUCCAGGCUGCAUAAGAGGUUGGAAAGACCCUCUUUCUCUCUCGCCCACCUCUAAAGAUGUUGCUCCAUACACGCCGGGGAAUGCAGAUGUCGGUAGCCGAGGAGGUGGCACUCUGAGCCCGGCAGGGGCAGGACCCUCGACCCUGGGAGACCCUCCGGCGAAGCUGGCGGCGAGACGCGGGAGAAGCGGCGCAGGCAGGCGGCGAGACCCUGGCUCUGACUGGCGGAGAGGGGGAUUGAGUCUAGACCGCAGUAGAGGAAGAAAGGACUGCCACUGGGGUCAGAGAGCAGCGACGAGAGCAUAGCCUCCGUACUAGCAUGGCGGAGCGAGUGUGUGUGGAAAUGUGUGUGUGGUUACUCCUCCCCUCUCUCCGAAGAGGCUGCCAUGAUAUGCGUUCACACGUGGAGAGGAGAGACCCUCUUCUGCUGCUUAUUUUCGCGUCUUUCUGCAGUGUCCUUUGUUGCAUUUUAGUGCAUUGAUUUACCUUCAAUACCUGGAGAAAGUGCUUAUUUGGGUUGCAUUUUACUAUAGACACCAAGAUUUGCUUCACACACUCUGUGUGUGUGUGUGUGUGAGAGAGAAACAGAGCACUGGGUCUUUGUUACUGUCAAAAUGAAGUGAUGUUUGCCAGGUUUUCUAUGUAUGACUGAAUGAAAUGUAAAAUUAGCGACUUUUUAGUCAAUUCAGGUCUUGUAUCAUUUAAUGUUGAAAUUGUGUAAAAAAAGAGCUAUUACGAUAUCUGAAAACCGAGCUACUUUGUUCAUAGAAAAUAUACAACAAAAUUGUGAACAAAGAAACAAACCCUCUUGCCAUUGAAUAUUAUUAUUCCUUAUUUAAUUUGAACAUGACAUUACAUUAUAGGAAAUGCAUUAUGGUAUACCCGUUAAAUGUGUUAAAGUGUAUGUGAGCGAUAGGUUCAGUUCAGACUGACUGUGUUUUACUUGUGGGUGGCAAAAUAAGAACAAUAUGAAACAUAACAUUAAAAAGCAACUUUUCUUGCUAACACUCAAUUGAACCAUUUAGUGUGUGUAGGUGUAAGAGACAAAUUAGUUUAGUGCUCUAAAGAAUAAUUGCAUAUAUAAUUUCUCCUAAACAAUUUAUAGGCACUCGAAAAGACGGUUUCAUAAUUUCUUUUAAAUUGUAAUUUUAUGCUGUUGUGCUUUUUUUUUUUAACAAAAGUGUAAUGUGAGUUUCUGUGUGUCUAUAUAUAUAUAUAUAUAUAUAUAUAUGUAUAUAUGUGUGUUAUAAUCAUGUGCAGUGGAUACAAAAUAUGGUUCAUGUAUGUGUUGACUUUUACUAAGCCUUAAAAAUCAUGACAGGGCUAUUUAAAAAAAAAACGAUUUCAUUUCAUAACGCAUGCAAUUAGUUUGUCUCAAUCUAAAGUCACACUGAAAUCCUUGCUAAUUGAAAUGACGGCAUUGUACUGUAGCUGCUUUGCAUUACUGUUAUGUGAUGCAAGAAGGUGAAUGUUUGAAAUGUGGAUUUUUCACUGACAUGUUUCAAUUUUCCCAAACACACUAAUACACGCAAACCACACACAACUAAGCGACAUUUCUAUUUGACUUUUCUCUUAUCUCUGGAAAAUGUGUUUUCAUCGACUAGCCGGCAAGCAAUAAUGUGAAGGCAGAGUAGGACGUUCUUCGCGGAGGCCGCCGUUAAACACUGCACCAUCAUUUGUCCUCCUGCCUGUUCUAGAGAGAGAGAGAGCGAGAGAGAGAGAGUGAUGAUAGAUACAGCUUCAAAUGUCACUGAAGAAAUGGCCUCUGACAUGAAUGUUUUAUUCAGUCUCCUUUCCCUGAUCACAUCUAUACAAUAGAAAAUGUAAAUGUUAUGCAGAAUGCUUAAAAAUUCACUAUAUAUUUUAUGACCUUCUAUAAAAGAGGGGCAAAA